AACGAACGCUGGCGGCAUGCCUAACACAUGCGAAUCGAACGAGACCUUCGGGUCUAGUGGCGCACGGGUGCGUAACGCGUGGGAACCUGCCCUUAGGUUCGGAAUAACUCCCCGAAAGGGGUGCUAAUACCGGAUAAUGUCUUCGGACCAAAGAUUUAUCGCCUUUGGAUGGGCCCGCGUUGGAUUAGCUAGUUGGUAGGGUAAAAGCCUACCAAGGCGACGAUCCAUAGCUGGUCUGAGAGGAUGAUCAGCCACACUGGGACUGAGACACGGCCCAGACUCCUACGGGAGGCAGCAGUGGGGAAUAUUGGACAAUGGGCGAAAGCCUGAUCCAGCAAUGCCGCGUGAGUGAUGAAGGCCUUAGGGUUGUAAAGCUCUUUUACCCGGGAUGAUAAUGACAGUACCGGGAGAAUAAGCUCCGGCUAACUCCGUG
rnacentral:rRNA from 1 species